rfam:Apaloderma vittatum contig72688, whole genome shotgun sequence.
GGCUGGUUAGCUCAGUUGGUUAGAGCGUGGUGCUGAUAACACCAAAGCUGCGGGUUCGAUCCCCAUUCAGUCU